UUUUUUGCCCGAUUUUAAUACUGAUUUUGAUUUUAUUAUUGUGCAUCAAUUAGAAUUUAAUCUUUUAACAUAUUAAAAAAUCCAAAAAUAUUUUUAUUUUUAUUUUUCAUUUCAAGUAAUUAAUUAUUUAGUAUUUCUCAUGUUUUUACUAUUUCUUUUAUGUUUUUGUUCUAUUUUUGAAUUUUUAUAUCAUUAAUGGCAUCACUCUCAUUUU
rnacentral:lncRNA from 1 species